AUUGAACGCUGGCGGCAGGCUUAACACAUGCAAGUCGAGCGGAGCGAGGGUGCUUGCACCUUAGCUUAGCGGCGGACGGGUGAGUAAUGCUUAGGAAUCUGCCUAUUAGUGGGGGACAACAUUCCGAAAGGAAUGCUAAUACCGCAUACGCUCUACGGGGGAAAGCAGGGGAUCUUCGGACCUUGCGCUAAUAGAUGAGUCUAAGUCGGAUUAGCUAGUUGGUGGGGUAAAGGCCUACCAAGGCGACGAUCUGUAGCGGGUCUGAGAGGAUGAUCCGCCACACUGGGACUGAGACACGGCCCAGACUCCUACGGGAGGCAGCAGUGGGGAAUAUUGGACAAUGGGCGGAAGCCUGAUCCAGCCAUGCCGCGUGUGUGAAGAAGGCCUUUUGGUUGUAAAGCACUUUAAGCGAGGAGGAGGCUCUUAAGGUUAAUACCCUUGAUGAGUGGACGUUACUCGCAGAAUAAGCACCGGCUAACUCUGUGCCAGCCGCCGCCGUAAGAC
rnacentral:rRNA from 1 species